CCUACGGGAGGCAGCAGUCGAGAAUCAUUCACAAUGGGGGAAACCCUGAUGGUGCGACGCCGCGUGGGGGAAUGAAGGUCUUCGGAUUGUAAACCCCUGUCAUGUGGGAGCAAAUUAAAAAGAUAGUACCACAAGAGGAAGGGACGGCUAACUCUGUGCCAGCAGCCUCGGUAAUACGGAGGUCUCAAGCGUUGUUCGGAAUCACUGGGCGUAAAGCGUGCGUAGGCUGUUUCGUAAGUCGUGUGUGAAAGGCGCGGGCUCAACCCGCGGACGGCACAUGAUACUGCGAGACUAGAGUAAUGGAGGGGGAAACGGAAUUCUCGGUGUAGCAGUGAAAUGCGUAGAUAUCGGGAGGAACACUCGUGGCGAAGGCGGGUUGCUGGACAUUAACUGACGCUGAGGCACGAAGGCCAGGGGAGCGAAAGGGAUUAGAUACCCCUGUAGUC
rnacentral:rRNA from 1 species